UACGUAGGUGGCAAGCGUUGUCCGGAUUUACUGGGCGUAAAGAGCGCGCAGGCGGUCGAUUUAGUCGCGUGUGAAAGCCCCCGGCUCAACUGGGGAGGGUCACGCGAUACUGAUCGACUCGAAGGCAGGAGAGGGUAGUGGAAUUCCAGGUGUAGCGGUGAAAUGCGUAGAUAUCUGGAGGAAUACCGGUGGCGAAGGCGGCAUCCUGGACCGGCAUUGACGCUGAGGAGCGAAAGCUAGGGGAGCAAACGGG
rnacentral:rRNA from 1 species